UACGUAGGGUGCAAGCGUUGUCCGGUAUUAUUGGGCGUAAAGAGCUCGUAGGCGGUCUGUUGCGUCGGCUGUGAAAACCCGGGGCUCAACUCCGGGCCUGCAGCCGAUACGGGCAGACUAGAGUUCGGCAGGGGAGACUGGAAUUCCUGGUGUAGCGGUGAAAUGCGCAGAUAUCAGGAGGAACACCGGUGGCGAAGGCGGGUCUCUGGGCCGAUACUGACGCUGAGGAGCGAAAGCGUGGGGAGCAAACAGG
rnacentral:rRNA from 1 species